UUCAUAGCACAUGGGCAACAACAUGUUUGUUAUGUUUUAAUGUGUUUUUAAUCUUUUAAUUCUAAACAUAAAUUGAAUGUAAACAUUGAGGGCGAUCAAUAAUGACAAUAAUAAUAAAGAUCAAGAUCUGCGGUAUAAAGGCUGGCGCACAGUUCUGGGUUUGUAUGAAUCCAUGUGGAUCUCUGCCUGCAGACCAUAUGUGGAAGCCACCAGGCAGGUUAAAGAGAUGGUAACACCUCGGACCGCUGGGACUGCGGCUGGACAUCUCACACCUCCUCUUUACCAGGAGCAGAACAAGACAACAGGCUUUCUCCAUUUACACCCAUUGAUUCUUUUGCUAACAUGUGUUUGAGGCUUGUCUGUCUAAAAGUCAAACUUUGGGACGCUUCAGACCAUCGAAGUCGUGUUCUCAACCUUUGUGGACGAAAACUGUCUGUUGAUGCUCUGGUGAGGGAGACGACGGCCCACACAAACACACCAGAACCACGACACAAGGGAGGUGUGCCAUAGACGCGUUUAAAAUAUGGUGGAAAAGGAAAAACCGGAGGAAGAGAGACAGAAAGAGCGAGACGAGCAGGCGUUAUGGAUCUCAGGUCUAAUGCAGUCCAGCGGGUCAGAAACACGGGGCCUCCAGGCGCCAUGGAAAUGACAAAACCUGAUCAAUACUCAAGGUCCGUUUGUUCUUUCUGGUGUUGUUUCUCCAAAUUACUGUACAGCAUUAAUGUGCAGCUACUGAUCCAGACUCAGUCCACCUGACUUAUUCCUCCAUGCAGCAGACACAUCCGCCGGCAUCACAACCCUCAUACAUGAGAUGCAGCAUCAACAAAAUGCUCAUUCAUUAAUGACAUCUGUUAUUUACAGAUUUAAGGUUUCAAUAGUUUCAAAGAAGACAGAAUGUGACUGAUUGAAGUUCGGAUCAAGAGAAACUGGAUGUGUCUAGACAUAAACAGCAGCUUUAACACAGCAAGUGAAAGAAACCAGGUGGUCUGUUCAAAAUUCUUAGAGCUUGACAUUGAAACACAAAAGAGGCCGUCAUUCAUGUGACAAUAAGUGCAGCAAGGCCACUGUGCUGUUCACCUGCACCAACACACCAGCGUUCACCAUCAUCACACUAUAUUUAUGCUUUGGUCUGUUAAACUCACUUUUACUAAAUAUUGGAGUGACUUCAUUUAAUUAAUACAGUAUGGCGUUGUUAAAGCCAAUAUAAAUAAAAACACUACAACGGUUUAGAAAAAGUUAUUUUAGAUGAGAUCUUUAGUUUUGGCAGCUACAUGUACAUGUAAAACUCUGGCUGUAACAAGAACAAAAGAUUUUCAUUAGACUCCAAAAAGUCAAAAGCUGAUUCGCCCUCAUUCAUAUUCUUUGGUAGCUGACAGGUUUGUGUUAGUUGACCGCUGCCGAGUCGGACGGUGGUAGAUUGUUCUCCAGCUGCUUAAAAACCCUGGUGAGCAUCAACAGAGCUGCUAAUGAAUGAAUGGAUCUUCUA